rnacentral:tRNA from 1 species
GCGCCUGUAGCGUAAUGGAUAACGCGUUGGCCUCCGGAGCCAUGUAUGCAGGUUCGACUCCUGUCAGGCGCGCCA